rnacentral:lncRNA from 1 species
GUGUGGAGAAAAAAUACUGUUUCAAAUCACCCAAGAACCAUAAUACUUAAUAACUAUCUCGUACAAUUCGUACAAAUCGCAAAUGUGUUUUUCAUUCAGAUUUUUAAGUGUCAAUUUUUUUGAUUUUUAGUAAAUAAUUACCAAAGGUACCAGGAUUGUAAUUUAGUACGCCAGACGCUCGUUUCGUCUACAUAAGACGCAUCAGUGACGCUCAUAUCAAAAUAUUUAUAAAGCCAAACUAGUACAAAGUUGAAGAGCGUUGAGGAUCCAAAGUUCCAAAAAGUUGGGCCAAAUACAGCUAAGGUAAUCUAUGCCUGGGAUAAGAAAAUCCUUAGUUUUUCGAAAAAUUCAAAAUUUGGUAAACAGGAAAUUUACAGCAAAUUUACCAAAAUGUUGACUACUGCACUGGUGAUACCCUCGGGGACGAAACGUCCACCAGCAAAAAGGC